rnacentral:rRNA from 1 species
GACGAACGCCGGCGGCGUGCUUAACACAUGCAAGUCGAACGGAAAGGCCCUUUCGGGGGUACUCGAGUGGCGAACGGGUGAGUAACACGUGGGUGAUCUGCCCUGCACUUUGGGAUAAGCCUGGGAAACUGGGUCUAAUACCGGAUAGGACUACGCGAUGCAUGUCGUGUGGUGGAAAGCUUUUGCGGUGUGGUGAUGGGCCCGCGGCCUAUCAGCUUGUUGGUGGGGUGAUGGCCUACCAAGGCGACGACGGGUAGCCGGCCUGAGAGGGUGUCCGGCCACACUGGGACUGAGAUGAGGCCCAGACUCCUAGGGGGGGCAGCAGUGGGGAAUAUUGCACAAUGGGCGCAAGCCUGAUGCAGCGACGCCGCGUGGGGGAUGACGGCCUUCGGGUUGUAAACCCCUUUCAGCAGGGACGAAGCGCAAGUGACGGUACCUGCAGAAGAAGCACCGGCCAACUACGUGCCAGCCGCCGCCGUAACAC